rnacentral:misc_RNA from 1 species
GAUGAAGAACGCAGCGAAAUGCGAUAAGUAAUGUGAAUUGGAGAAUUCAGUGAAUCAUCGAAUCUUUGAACGCACAUUGCGCCCCUUGGUAUUCCGAGGGGCAUGCCUGUUCGAGCGUCAUUAUAACCCCUCAAGCUCAGCUUGGUGUUGGGGCCUGCUGCACUGGCAGCCCUUAAAAUCAGUGGCGGCGCCAUCUGGCUCUAAGCGUAGUAAUUCUUCUCGCUAUGGAGUCCUGGUGGAUGCUUGCCAUCAACCCCCAAUUUUUCUAUGGUUGACCUCGGAUCAGGUAGGGAUACCCGCUGAACUUAAGCAUAUCAAUAAGCGGAGGA